rnacentral:rRNA from 1 species
UGGGGAAUUUUUCGCAAUGGGGGCAACCCUGACGAAGCAACGCCGCGUGGAUGAUGAAGUAUCUCGGUACGUAAAAUCCUUUCGACAGGGAAGAAACCGCAAGGUUGACGGUACCUGUAGAAGAAGCCCCGGCUAACUCCGUGCCAGCAGCCGCGGUAAUACGGGGGGGGCUAGCGUUGUUCGGAAUUACUGGGCGUAAAGGGCGCGUAGGCGGUCUGCUAAGUUGGAUGUGAAAACUCUGGGCUUAACCCAGAGCCUGCAUUCAAUACUGACAGGCUAGAGUUCUGGAGGGGAUAGCGGAAUUCCUGGUGUAGCGGUGAAAUGCGUAGAUAUCAGGAGGAACACCGGUGGCGAAGGCGGCUAUCUGGACAGAGUCUGACGCUGAGGCGCGAAAGCUAGGGGAGCAAACAGGAUUAGAUACCCUGGUAGUCCUAGCCCUAAACGAUGGAUACUUGGUGUAACUGGGAUUGAAUCCAGUUGUGCCGAAGCUAACGCAUUAAGUAUCCCGCCUGGGGAGUACGGUCGCAAGGCUGA